AUUUGAUAUCAUAAGGUCAACUCAUUUAGUUUGUUUCUUUGAGAUGAAAAUAGUUUGAAAUUUAAGUAAUUGUAAGUCAAUAAUAAAUAAAAAAAAUAAAGAGUACAAUUUCACGUACUUGACAAUAUUGUUAAGGACAUAGGACAAUGCAUCAGAAAUUGUAUUCUGUACGUUCGAAUCCAAUAGAUGUGUUUAAAUCCAGGUAGGGUCAUUUGUGCUUCUCAUCAAAGGUAUACGAUAGUUGGGAAUUAUAGUUACUUAGUUACCAUUUUGUUUUGUAAAAAUAUACAAAAUAUAUCAAAAGCUUAUACCUGUCAUAAACUAUUUUACAAUUUCUAAAACUAGAGCUGAAGAAGUUUUUUUUUUUUGGAUUUUGUUUUUGUGUGUUAUUUAGUUUAAAAAAUGGUUGAUAUCUUCAGUUUUCUCAGAACACUACACGGUUUAUUGUUUCGUACAGAUAUG